rnacentral:rRNA from 1 species
GACGAACGCUGGCGGCGUGCUUAACACAUGCAAGUCGAACGGAAAGGCCCUGCUUUUGUGGGGUGCUCGAGUGGCGAACGGGUGAGUAACACGUGAGUAACCUGCCCUUGACUUUGGGAUAACUUCAGGAAACUGGGGCUAAUACCGGAUAGGAGCUCCUGCUGCAUGGUGGGGGUUGGAAAGUUUCGGCGGUUGGGGAUGGACUCGCGGCUUAUCAGCUUGUUGGUGGGGUAGUGGCUUACCAAGGCUUUGACGGGUAGCCGGCCUGAGAGGGUGACCGGCAACUUGGGGAGGGGAAGCCGGCCCGGCCCCCGCGGGGGGGCAGCGGGGGGGAAUGGUACAAAGGGGGGGGGGGCCUAGCGCAGCACCGCCGCGGGGGGGAUGGGGGCUUGGGGUUUGAACACGGCUGCCGCCUGUGACGAGGGGGGAGGGAGGGUAAGGGGAAAAGAAGCCCCGGCUAACGACGGC